rnacentral:rRNA from 1 species
AUCAGGGUUCGAUUCCGGAGAGGGAGCAUGAGAAAUGGCUGCCAGAUCUAUGGAUUGCAGCAGGUGCGAAAAUUAUCCACUUUUGGCAUAAAGAGAUAGUGAUGAUAAAUAACGGAUCUGGGCAUUUGUUCAGAGAUCGUAAUGAAAUAAUCGUAAAAGCUUUAAUGAACGCAAUUGGAGGGCAAGUCUGGUGCCAGCAGCCGCGGCAAUUCCAGUUCCAAUAGUGUAUACUAAAGUUGCUGCAGKUGRAAAGCUCGUAGUUGGAUCUCGGCUUGCUAGCGCGCAAAGCGCGAAAGUAGGCCUUUGCUGUAGUUGAGUGCUACGGCUUUACCUUGAACAAAAUAGAGUGCUUAAGGCAAAGCAUUCUGCUUGAAUAUCUCAGCAUGGAAUAAUAGAAAAAGACUUUUCUGUUGGUUUACCAGUAGUAAAAGUAAUGAUUAACAGAGACAGACGGGGGCAUUCGUAUUGCACCGCUAGAGGUGAAAUUCGUAGAUCGGUGCAGGACGAACUACAGCGAAAGCAUUUGCCAAGGAUGUUUUCAUUAAUCAAGAACGAAAGUUGGAGUAUCGAAGUCGAUUAGAUCUCGUCGUAGUUCCAACUAUAAACGAUGCCAACUAGCACUCCGCUAAUAAGAUUUUGACAUUAGCGGGUUGCUUCCGGGAAACCAAAGUCUUUGGGCUCCGGGGGAAGUAUGGUUGCAAAGCUGAAACUUAAAGGAAUUGACGGAAGGGCACCACCAGGAGUGGAGCCUGCGGCUCAAUUUGACUCAACACAGAAAAACUCACCCGGGCCGAACACAGUAAGGAUUGACAGACUGAUAGCUUUUUCUUGAUACUGUGGGUAGUGGUGCAUGGCCGUUGUUGGUUGGUGGAGUGAUCUGUCUGGUUAAUUCCGAUAACGAACGAGACUCAAGCCUACUUAUUAGUUGUUUGAUUGUUGGUCGAUCAACUACUUAGAGGGAUCAGUGUUUAAAACACUUGAAAAUGAGCAAUAACAGGUCUGUGAUUGCCCUUAGACGUUCGGGGCUGCACGCGCGCUACAAUGAAGAAAGCAGUGGGUGUCUUGCUUGGCAAAGCAAGCUGAGCCUUAAAAUUUCUUCGUGACAGGGAUCGAGGCUUGUAAUUAUUCCUCGUGCACAAGGAAUUCCUAGUAAUCGCAGGUCAU